GGCGAGAUGGCCGAGCGGUCUAAGGCGCCAGACUAAGGUGCACGUUGCUUUAAUCUGGUCCGAAAGGGCGUGGGUUCGAAUCCCACUCUCGUCA